CGGCCUGAGGUCGGACGAGGCUACCCGCUGAAUUUAAGCAUAUUACUAAGCGGAGGAAAAGAAACUAACGAGGAUUCCCUCAGUAACGGCGAGUGAAGCGGGACGAGCCCAGCGCCGAAUCCGGCCGCUUAUGGAGCGGACGGAAUUGUGGCGUAUGGAAUUCGCUUCA
rnacentral:ncRNA from 1 species